rnacentral:rRNA from 1 species
ACGAUGAACCACUUCGGUGGGGAUUAGUGGCGAACGGGUGAGUAACACGUGGGCAAUCUGCCCUGCACUCUGGGACAAGCCCUGGAAACGGGGUCUAAUACCGGAUACUGAUCCGUCUGGGCAUCCAGACGGUUCGAAAGCUCCGGCGGUGCAGGAUGAGCCCGCGGCCUAUCAGCUUGUUGGUGAGGUAGUGGCUCACCAAGGCGACGACGGGUAGCCGGCCUGAGAGGGCGACCGGCCACACUGGGACUGAGACACGGCCCAGACUCCUACGGGAGGCAGCAGUGGGGAAUAUUGCACAAUGGGCGAAAGCCUGAUGCAGCGACGCCGCGUGAGGGAUGACGGCCUUCGGGUUGUAAACCUCUUUCAGCAGGGAAGAAGCGAAAGUGACGGUACCUGCAGAAGAAGCGCCGGCUAACUACGUGC